rnacentral:rRNA from 1 species
GAUGAACGCUGGCGGCGUGCCUAAUACAUGCAAGUCGAGCGAACAGACGAGGAGCUUGCUCCUCGGACGUGAGCGGCGGACGGGAGAGUAACAUGUGGAUAACCUACCUAUAUGACUGGGAUAACUUCGGGAAACGGGAGCUAAUACCGGAUAAUAUAUUGAACCGCAUGGUGCAAUGGUGAAUGACGGUUUUUGGGUAAGUAAUAGAGGGAUACGCGCCGCAUUAGGUGGUCGGGAAGGUAACGGGUUACGAAGGGAAGUAUGCGUAGCCGACUUGAGAGAGGGAUAGGCCACACGGGAACGUGGACACGGUCCAGACUACUACGGGAGGCAGCAGUAGGGAAUCUUACGCAAUAGUCGAGAGCCUGACGCAACAACGCCGCGUGAGUGAUGAAGGUCUUCGGAUCGUAAAACUCUGUUAUUAGUGAAGAACAAAUGUGUAAGUAACUAAGCACUUCUUGACGGUACCUAAUCAGAAAGCCACGGCUAACUACGUG